rnacentral:tRNA from 1 species
GGUGAGUUGUCCGAGUGGCUGAAGGAGCACGCCUGGAAAGUGUGUGUACGGUAACGUACCGAGAGUUCGAAUCUCUCACUCACCGCCA